rnacentral:tRNA from 1 species
GGGCCCGUGGUGUAAGCAGCAACACGCGAGACUUUGAAUCUCGAGUCGGAGGGGCGGAACCUCCCGGGCCUCCCA